CGGCGGCCCCGCGGCCCGGGCGGAGGCGCGUGUGCGCCCCGUCUCGCAGCCUGGGGUUCGAGUCCCUGCCCCGCCCGAGCCGCAGCCUCCUCUCCCAGAAUCCGCUGGGUAUGGCCCCACCUGCCCUGCUUCCCCCCAGUAAAGAUACAACUUGACAUGAAAUGUUGUGCCUGACACCUCCGUAGCCCCCAGUUGGUACACCAUCCCUAUGUUGGCCGUCGCCCUGAAAACCACAGACUUCGACAUAGCACAACUGAGAAGGCAUCAACACUGCCACACGGAAGACAGAGCUGGUUUUAAGAGGUAAAAACAUGUAAACUCUCCUUUAUAAUUUACCAGACUUCUAAAUGUGUUUUACAAAGAACAGGGACCGGAGCGAUAGUCCAGCAGGGAGGGCGUCUGCCUUGCACGCAGCUGACCCAGGUUUGAGCCCCGGCACCCCACAGGGUCCCCCCAGCACAGCCAGGAGUAACUACUUCUGAGUGCAGAGCCAGGAGUAAGCCCUGAGCCCCCAAAACAGAAGCAGAAUAAUAACAACAGCAGCAAAAAAAUCUUAGAUCAGAUCUCAAUGUCAGGAUCCUGGCAGCCAGAAUCAACAGGAAAAUCUGAAUACUGACACACUGGAAUGACGGUGACCCGCACAGGUAGAAUAUCCAAACCAUCAGCUACACACUUUGUCUACAGUUUACUAACUGAACAAGAUAUUACAAUGUUAAAGGAAUGCUUUAAAUAUGCUUACUUUCAUUUACCUUUUCUGGGGGGUGCCUUAGAGGGGUGGGGGGCCGCUUUGGCAAUACUCAGCCACCCAGUCUGGUCCAGUGCUGGGGCCGGAGCUGGGAGCUGCUCCUCUCAGCAGUGCUCAGGGGCUGUCAGGGAGCCCAGGUGGAACCAGGCCUGGGUGCGGAUGGCUGUCCUGCUCCAAGUCCUGCUGUGACUCUAAAUGGCCCCCUCGGGCCAGAGCAGCGUGGCCCCAAGCCCCCCUGCCCAGAACAAACUGCUGCUGAGACCAAGUUCACUCAGCCCUAAAGCACGAUCGAAAUUAAGACUCAAAAUGAUUCAAUAUCUUUCCCCCGCAAAGAAACAAAGAGCUGCAAAGUGUUUUUCCUGGAUUCAAUCUGUUCCCAUGACAAGUUUAAAUCACCCGUUCUAAUACUUGAUACCAUGAAAGAGAAUGUCAGAAAAAAAUUGAUUUACGGUGCACAUUUAUGCUUUUAAAUUGUUUAGGAUGCACAUUUAUGCUUUCGAAUUGCACAAAGGCCUUUUCUCUUAUUAGUAAAUGUUACAGAUGAGAAAAGGACAAACGUUUGAGCUGAUUCACAUUUCAUGUGUGUGCACGUGUUCCUUCUGCUCAUGUUUUGAUUGUGGCCACCUGUUUUCCUGCAGCCCUGGGGACUGACCUGGGGGCCUCUCAUGCAAGAGGAGCACUGUGCUGCCGAGCUCAGCCUGGCUCCGUCUGAAAAGAUGCCGUGUGUGUGGAGAUCCAAUUAUUGUUCUUGUUCUCUAAAAUACACAGCAAGUGAUCGUCACUGCGUUUCAGCCGAGGCUUUCUCCUCACAUCCAGACCCAAGUCCAGACCCAGACCCUGCCAGGACAGACUCCACCAAACAUCAUCUGAGCUUACAGUAAACGGCUAAAGGGCUUAAGAAACACUGAGAAAACCUUCAGACUAAAAGUACCUGAGUCUCCUGGUACCCAUGAUGGUUAGUUCCAUUUUAAUUUUUCUACAGCUUUCUACUGUCCAACAGUUGCUUAAACGUAAAAUAAAUUAAACUCCAAUAUGUGAUGUGUGUUCUGUUAAUAUUCUGGCGAAUUCCUUUCUAGCUGUUCUUCAAUCAGAAUUGACAAGACAUGCCUGAGGCUAAGGAGUCUUUCACACACCACACAGAAAUAUGCACUUCAAAAAUGUUCCACUGUUUAAAUCUCUGUUUUCAAGGACAUGUGGUAUAUUGCAGUGUCCACCUUGCAAGUCCUUAGUGUGUUAGCAUUGGGACUGCAGAAAUGCCUGGAAAAUCUGCUCCUUACCUAGAGAUCCUGUGUUAGAAACACUUUUUGCGUAUGCGUGUGUCAGGGUUCGAGCCUAGGCCUUACAAACCUGAGCAUGUGCUAGACCACUGAGCUACAUUGGGCCCGGGGCUGCAUUUUGUCAUGACUGACAGCUCAGCAUCUUAGUGAAAUGUGUGCCAUCCCGCUGCUUUUAUCGUGCUUUACAAGAGGAAUAAGCCACAAUGCAUUGGAAAUUUAAAAAAAAAAGUCCUUUAGGCAUUUUGAGAACCACUAGUCCACCAUCAAGCACUUAGACUGAGUUUUCUUUUUAACGAGUGGAAGUGAAGAGGCUGGAGAUAGCACAGCACUUGGGGCUCACACCCAACCCAGAUUUGACUCCCGGCAACACCUGACCAGCCCUGACCAGGGAGAAGUCAUGGGUGUCUAUUCUCUCCCGUGGCGAUUUUCAGUCUUUUACAGUGGGAUGGCGGCCAUCUGUCUGCCCAGAAGGGACAACGUUUGCAGCAAGGCUGUAUCUAAGGGGCUGGAGAGACUCUACGGCAGAGAAGGCGCUGCCUUGUACACGGCCGGCCUGAGUUCUGUCCCUGGUACCACAUAUUGUCCCCUGAACCGUGCCAGGAACAUUUGCUAAGCGCAGAGCCAGGAGUGAGCCCUGAGCACUGCCUGGAACGGCCCCCAAAACCAAACCAGCCAACCAAAUCCCCCCCCCAAAAAAAACUGUCAAUUUAAUUUUGAGAAUAACCCAAGGUGUGCAUUUUGUUGGCAAUAAAUAGGCUGAUUCUUCUUUCAAAACACUGCUCUCCUUCCUUCCCGCGGGGAAGUUUGAGCUGUGGCCUCUGGGGGGGACAGCCUCCAGGUAGUUCUCGCUUAGAAGCGGAGCCGGAAAGCCAGUUUCAGGAGUGAAGGGAGAAACGCCUGCAGCGCAGCGGGCUGGAGGCGGCCCAGCCGGCCGGGUGUGCCCGUUGCAGGCAUAACCCUGGCUUUGACCUGCCACCGAAUGGUCCCCUGGGCACUGCCAGGGCAGUUUCCUGAGCACCAAGACCAGGAGGUGUCCCUCAGAACUGCUAACAGAGGCUCUAGAA